rnacentral:rRNA from 1 species
GACGAACGCUGGCGGCGUGCUUAACACAUGCAAGUCGAACGGAAAGGCCCUGCUUUUGUGGGGUGCUCGAGUGGCGAACGGGUGAGUAACACGUGAGUAACCUGCCCUUGACUUUGGGAUAACUUCAGGAAACUGGGGCUAAUACCGGAUAGGAUCUCCUGCUGCAUGGUGGGGGUUGGAAAGUUUCGGCGGUUGGGGAUGGACUCGCGGCUUAUCAGCUUGUUGGUGGGGUAGUGGCUUACCAAGGCUGUGACGGGUAGCCGGCCUGAGAGGGUGAACGGCCACAUUGGGACUGAGGUACGGCCCAGAGUCGUACGGGAGGCAGAAGUGGGGAAUAUUGCACAAUGGGCGGAAGCCUGAUGCAGCAACGCCGCGUGCGGGAUGACGGCCUUCGGGUUGUAAACCGCUUUCGCCUGUGACGAAGCGUGAGUGACGGUAAUGGGUAAAGAAGCACCGGCUAACUACGUG